rnacentral:misc_RNA from 1 species
GUUCUUUUGUGGGUGCUAGAGAAGAAGACAGUCAAUCUCAAAGAUAUAAAUGUUGGCAGUUACAAGCGUAAGAAUAAUAGGAGGGGAUACGGAUGAGUUCUCGUAACAAUGUGUUUACAUCAAGAAUUGGCUUGGAGUCAUUACCUGUUUACCUUAGUUAUGGAAGAGCUAACUAGUCAUAUUUAAGAUGAUGUUCUAUGGUGCAUAUUAUUUGCAGAUGAUGUUGUCAUGAUGGAUGAAACUAGUGAUAGAGUUCAUCAAAAGUUAAGAGUUGUGGAGAAGGACUUUCGAGAAUAAGUGUUUUAGGCUUAGUAAAAGUAAGAUGGGAUAUGCGCAUUGUGGUUUUAGCUCUUGUAGAAGGAAUGAAUGAGAGAUUUGAUUGGAUGGAGUUUGGUGCCAAAAUGCAGCUAAUUAAGAUUAGGAAUGACAAUAUUUGCCAGAGUGCAUGUAGCACACAUUGGGAAUAGAAAAAAGGGGAGAGAGAUAGAGGGGGUCGAUUAAGAUGGUUUGAUCAUGUUCAAUAUAGAGCAUGGAAUGUUUUCAGUGUGAAAGUAUGAUAAGUUAGUUAGGUUUGUUCAUGGGUUGUAUUGAAUAAAAUUUAAUUCUAUUCCAACCCAAGCCAACUUAAAUAAGUGAAUGGUGAUUUCCCAAUCCAAUCCAACCAACCUGACUGCAAAAAAUCUAUAAGUUGGUUGGUCAGGUUAAAUUACAUCCAACAUUCCAAACUGCCCUAAGUUUAAAAGGCUAAAAGUGGAUGCCGUACUUGC